AGAAUCUGUUUAGUCCCACUGCCUCUUUCAACCAGUGAGCAUAGCUAAAGGAAGUUAAUUAAAGAACUUUGAUCCUGAGUGCAUAGGUCAGUUUGCCAAAGUGAUUUUCACUGAACAGCUGUUUCACUGAACUAAAGUUGUACUUUAGAACUAAAACAGUAGUUUCACUGAACUAAAACUGAAUAGUUGCUACUUCUGUGGGUGAAAUGUUACUUUGAUACAAGUAUAGCAACAGAGGAAGGGAAUUUUAGAUUAACUACUGUGCUUCAGUUUCUCAGUAGCUGAAGGCCACGCUUAUAGUCAAGGCAUCGAGAUAGGACCAAGUCAGGCUGUACUCUCUUUGACAGAACUGUUUUAAAUGCAUGGGAAUUACUGACAGAGGGAGCACAGGAGACUGAAACUUCAAAGGUGCAUUUACCAAGGAGUAAACAUCUGCAGUUAGAACCUGAGACAGGGUACUCACAUGUGCGUGCCUGCGUGCUCAGCCACUUCAGUCGUGUCUGACUGUUUGCAACCCUAUGGAACAUAGCCUGCCAGGCUCCUCUGUCCACGGGAUUCUCCAGACAAGCAUGCUGGAGCGGGUUGCCGUUCUAUUCUCAAGGGGUCUUCCCAACUCACUAUAUAGGUUUGUACCAUCCUUCCAGCCUUAUUUUCCACUUGUGAUGUGGUAAAAAGAGAUCCGAACUGUGAGACAGGGGACUGCAUUUAAAUCUGAGUGUUUUGUGGCAGAUUCAUUUCGAUAUUUGGCAAAACUAAUACAAUAUUGUAAAGUUUAAAAAUAAAAUAAAAAAAAUAAAUCUGAGUGUUGCUACU
rnacentral:lncRNA from 1 species